GGAGUUUGCAGAGAGUCUGCCCCUGUGUCAGAUGUUCCCUCCAUAUCCCUGUCACCCUGUCAGCUGAAUUUCUGAUUGCCACUGAAGGCAGACAGCAGCCUCUGGAGCACCGGAGGGGGUUUGAAGGUGAAAAAUCUCCCAGGACAGCAUCUGAAAGUUGUGCUCCUAGCUGCACAGCCUUUGAGGUCUGCGAUGGAGACAGCGCGGGAGCAAAUCCAUCUCGGAAGCGGCUUUUUCUCUCUCCUGCCUGCUCCCCUUUUCUCUGUCUCUCUCUCUCGGUCCUUUUGCUCCGAUCUCCCUCAUCAGACUUUAAUGACAUGCCCAGUUACUGGCACUAAUGAAGGGCCACGGCUUUCACUAACAGGCCAACUGAGAUGGAUUCUUCAUGAUUGACUCGAUAGCCCGAGAGGGGCUGUGUGACAGCUCUCCUCCCCGGGGCUUUGAACAAAUGCUCUCAUCUCUAAUCGAGUUCCUUCCAGGAUUAAUGAAGCCCUGAGAUCACUUUUAUCUCCCGGAACAAGACGGAGCAGCUUCCAGAAUCAAAGUCUCUCAGAAGAUUGUUGGAGCUCUCAUCCAAGCUUGUCAUUGAAGAACACCGUCUAACAGGAAUGAAAUAUCAACACAACAUAAGAAUUACAGCCUUGUGACGGGAUCCAUUGGUGUCUGCAAACUCCUUCAAGGUCUCAAAGGAAAACGGGUUUCUUGAGGGAGUUGACUUACUCUAUGCUCACCCGCCGUGGGAAGCCGGGCUUGAUUGUCUCCACGCUGCCCUUAAUGUGAUGCCAGGCAACCUCGCAGCUUCAACGUACCUUGAGGAAAUCGUGUCAUCCCAAGUUAUCCAGAUAGAAAAGAUCAGUCGUGACUUUCUGCCGGGGCCUGCCUGGCAGAGCAGAUGGUUGGAAAUGUGACCAGAACUGGCCCAGUUUCUGCUCCUAACAACUGCUGUUUCAUGGAGCGCGUCUUCUGCCAAAAUGAAAUCUGCACUUUCUCCCGUUUAGCUGCUGCGGAGGUGAGAAAACGAGCAGGAGUUGAGGCUGAAAAAAAUGUUAACAGCAUGGAGAAAGAGUCAUCAGCAUCUUCCUGCACAGAAACGAUGCGGCUCUGAUCUGAAGCCAGGCCGCUGUCUUGUGCAGUGCUUUGCUUCCACAAGGGGAGGAGAGGACAGAAAAUGUGUUGCAUCUCCCACGACUUGCACUCCUACCAGAUAGCAGGUAGGGGCAGUUGAUCUGGUUGAUAUGGCAUCAAGCAAUCGUGAGAUCAGGCACCGGGAGGAAAAAUCUUUCUCUAGGCAGCUGUCAGUGCUUGUUAUGCCUAACACAGAGCAUAUGGUAAAUAUAACCAGAAGCCAAAAUAGAGUUAAUUGGUCUGUGUCAAACAUUUGUAGUGAUUGCCCCAAACUUGCACGUCGAGUGGAACGCAGGCUAGCUUGACACAGAGGCUCUCCAUUAGUCUCAGGCUGGUUUCGGAGGUACCCCAGCCCAGCUGCCGAGGGUUUCCUGUGAGUGGUCACAUCAGAAACCAGAUCUGUCUGCAAGAUGGUACCACUGCAACCCAUUGGAUCAGGCUUCCCAUUGGUUGAGCUGGGAACUGAGACCUGGCCCCCUCACCCCCCUUUGUUUCUUUACAAGACAAAGCUGUGCUUAAACUGCGGGUCUAGCCGGAGGGGGCUUUACACUCCUUGCAGCUGGCCGGAGCGGGAGCGCUAGGACCAUAAAUCACUCCACGAAGCCUGCAGCAAUAUGUGGACAACCUUCUAGUUGUGUGGGGGUCCUAUUCUCACCUGGAGUAAAUUCUCAUAGCUCUUUGGAAGUCUCUGACCUACUCUGCACGGUUUGGAUCCUGGGAAUACCCAAGGGAGCUCAUUUGGGGACCUGUGAAUCCCACUUUGCUAGAUUUGGGGCCUCUUGCAGCUGGUUUUGUGUUGUGGAGCCUGCUCAGGUUUUCUGCUGGUAUUCUCUUUUGCUCAGUGUGGGUCUGGGGCCAGCCAGUUCCUCCCCUCAGGGGUUUUAAGUUUCCUGUAAGCUGGUUCCAGGUGAUCUCACAUGGUUUGGGGACUUGAAAUCCUAUUCCAUGUGCUUCCAUUUUCCCCCCGCUUACCAUAUUGAGAGUCCAGAAGGAUUCGAAUCCAAGAAAUAAGAGGCUCUGAGCUUGAAGCAGAGCCUAAGUGUUUUUGGCUGAGCCACUUCGAGUCUUCCUCUCAAUUUCCUCCAAGACUGAAGCAGACAAAACAAAAUGAGAGGGGGACACUCCUUUCCACUGGAAUCCUUAGGCCGGGGAUCUGGUUUCCAUAUUCCUGGCUGACUCUGCGCUCCGGGCUCGCUCCCUCCUGUACGGGAAGGUGUCACGUUUCCGCAGACAUUACCAAAUAC